rnacentral:rRNA from 1 species
UGCUCGAGUGGCGAACGGGUGAGUAACACGUGGGUGAUCUGCCCUGCACUUCGGGAUAAGCUUGGGAAACUGGGUCUAAUACCGGAUAGGACCAUCGUUUAGUGUCGGUGGUGGAAAGUUUUUUCGGUGUGGGAUGAGCUCGCGGCCUAUCAGCUUGUUGGUGGUGUAAUGGCCUACCAAGGCGUCGACGGGUAGCCGGCCUGAGAGGGUGUACGGCCACAUUGGGACUGAGACACGGCCCAG